ACKGCUCAGUAACACGUGGCUAACUUACCCUCAGGACGGGUACAACCUCGGGAAACUGAGGCUAAUAUCCGAUAGGUGGGGAGACCUGGAAUGGUCCCUCACCCAAAAGGAGCUAGUGGCAUGCUUGCUAGUUUCGCCCGAGGAUAGGGCCGCGCCCGAUCAGGUCGCUGGUGAGGUAACGGCUCACCAGGCCUAUAACCGGUACGGGCCGUGAGAGCGGGAGCCCGGAGAUGGGCACUGAGAUAAGGGCCCAGGCCCUACGGGGCGCAGCAGGCGCGAAAACUCCGCAAUGCGCGAAAGCGUGACGGGGUCACCCCGAGUGCCGUCCGCUGAGGAUGGCUUUUGCCCGGUUUAACCAGCCAGGUGAAUAAGGGGAGGGCAAGUCUGGUGUCAGCCGCCGCGGUAAUACCAGCUCCCCGAGUGGUUGGGACGAUUAUUGGGUCUGAAGCGUCCGUAGCCGGCCGGAAAAGUCCCCCGUUAAAUCUGACGAUCCAAUCGUUGGGCUGCGGGGUAUACUCUUCGGCUUGGGGGCGAGGGAGGUCGGCGGUAGUCCCGGGGUAGGGGCGAAAUCCUAUAAUCCCGGGAGGACCACCAGUGGCGAAGGCGGCCGACUAAAACGCGCCCGACGGUGAGGGACGAAAGCUGGGGGAGCGAACGGGAUUAGAUACCCCGGUAGUCCCAGCUGUAAACGAUGCAGGCUAGGUGUUGGGUCGGCUACGAGCUGUCCCAGUGCCGCAGGGAAGCCAUUAAGCCUGCCACCUGGGAAGUACGGCCGCAAGGCUGAAUUUCUAUUGAGGCUCAGAAAAAUU
rnacentral:rRNA from 1 species